GUGCUCGCUUUGGCGGCACAUACACUAAAACUGGAAUGAUGCAGAGGAAAUUAGCAUGGCCCUUGUACAAGGGUGACACACACAUUUGUGAAGCAUUCCAUAUUUUU